GCCCAUGUGGUGGAAUUGGUAGACACGCCAUCUUGAGGGGGUGGUGUCCCUUCGGAUGUGCUGGUUCGAAUCCAGUCGUGGGCACGA
rnacentral:tRNA from 2 species